rnacentral:rRNA from 1 species
CAAUGCCGCGUGAGUGAAGAAGGCCUAUCGGGUUGUAAAGCUCUUUUGUCAGGGAAGAAACGGUGAGGGCUAAUAUCUCUUGCUAAUGACGGUACCUGAAGAAUAAGCACCGGCUAACUACGUGCCAGCAGCCGCGGUAAUACGUAGGGUGCAAGCGUUAAUCGGAAUUACUGGGCGUAAAGCGUGCGCAGGCGGUUUUGUAAGUCUGUCGUGAAAUCCCCGGGCUCAACCUGGGAAUUGCGAUGGAGACUGCAAGGCUAGAAUCUGGCAGAGGGGGGUAGAAUUCCACGUGUAGCAGUGAAAUGCGUAGAGAUGUGGAGGAACACCGAUGGCGAAGGCAGCCCCCUGGGUCAAGAUUGACGCUCAUGCACGAAAGCGUGGGGAGCAAACAGGAUUAGAUACCCUGGUAGUCCACGCCCUAAACGAUGUCUACUAGUUGUCGGGUUUUAAUUAACUUGGUAACGCAGCUAACGCGUGAAGUAGACCGCCUGGGGAGUACGGUCGCAAGAUUAAAACUCAAAGGAAUUGACGGGGACCCGCACAAGCGGUGGAUGAUGUGGAUUAAUUCGAUGCAACGCGAAAAACCUUACCUACCCUUGACAUGUACGGAAGCCACGAGAGAU